GGGGCACUGUGAAGAUUUUUCGCACAGGGCACCCAAAGGCCGGCCCUGAUUGUGUGUGAGGUGUGUGUAUGAAGAUUGUCAGCUGUAAUUGUGCGGGCUGCUAGUGAAGCUGUGUGUGUUUGUGGGUUGUUUGAACCAUUUCAUACCUCCCAAGUGUUCCUAGUUAAGAGGGGCAGUCCUGGUUUUGGGCCCAAAUUCCUAAUGUCCCUCUACAGUAUUCUAGAAUCUCCAUAUAGUUGGUAUGUUUUAGCGUAUAACAGAACUCCACAACAAUAAUAAGCGAUCACAGAUCAUGGCAAAAAUAAGCAUUGAAAGUUCAGUCUGUGUAAAUAAGAUAAUAAUAACAAAGUAUUUUACCACGAAAGGUACAUUCAGAUUACUCUGGUUUUCAAGUACGUCCUGGGGAUAAUAUGCAUUGUUCUUGUUUUAAAUUACAUUUUAUAUGCAUAAAUUGCUAUUGAUACGUCACCAAAAAUUUGCUAGAACAGACUCACUCCUGGCCACACCCCUAAAAUUAGUGUCCCUCUUUGUCCAUCUGAAAUGUUUGGAGGCAUAGUGCCUGUCACUAGAAUGACCCUCAUCAGUAAUCCUGGCUCUGGGUAGGAUGGUGCAGGCAUCAAAUUAAGGAGGGCUCCUUUUCCCAACGUUUGGAAUUUUCUUUCACAGGUAAAAGAGGAGAGAAAUGACAGUGUUAUAUCGGUGUUCUAAUUCACAAAGCAGUAACCAUGGCAAUGCACUAUGUGAAUAAAAACACAUUGCUAUCUCUAGCUUCCCUACCAGGGCUGCCCCUGAGGUCACGUGCCCUGAUGACGUUCUGUCACAGAACGCCGCGACAUCAGCGCAGCCUAACAGUUGACUUGAAAGAGGCGGAGUCAAGUCGCUCUUCC